rnacentral:misc_RNA from 1 species
CUUGCUUUGGUUAAGUGGAGUGUUGUGCAGGGCUUAAAAGAUGUUGGUGGCUUAGGGAAACUUGGUUGGGCUAAUCUCUCUAAUCCACACGCUCUCUAGGUUAGGGUAUUGUGUUCCAAGUAUAAAGUGAAUGGUGAUGGUUCUUCCCUUGCGCGCUCUCAACAUAAUUGCUUUGUUGUGGCAGGGAGUGCGGGAGAGCUGAGAUAUUUUGCGUUCUGGUUUGGCUUGGUCUAUUGGCAAUGGUAGGAGGGUUCUUUUUUGGAGAGAAUUGGAUUCCGAGGGAAAAGAGUUUAUUAAAGCUGGUCACUAGUCCUGUUCAGGAUUUCAUGCUCGAUGAUUUAGUUAUUAAUUAUAAGGCGGUGAAUGGUGACGUACAAGGAGUGGUCGAAGUUUGUGGACUUCUUACCGCAGCAUGUCAUCUACAAAAUUGCAGCUGUGUUGCCGCUUUUAGAAGAGAGAGGAGAGGAUGUGUUGUACUAGAGGUUCUCCUCUUCAGGUUCUUUCUCGGCCCGAACUGCUUAUGUUUUAUUAGCUGGUGUGGCUCAAUAUGCAAAUAUUGGCUGGAAAAUAAUUUGGCAAUGGCAGGGUCCUCAAAGGGUUAGUUUGCUCCUUUGGUUAGUUUCGCAUUAUUGAAUUCUUACUAAUGUGGAACAGGCCCGUCGGCAUCUGUGUAUAGUGGGAGAUUGCAGUUUAUGUGUCGGCAAUUUGGAGACGGCAUUGCAUGCUCUUCGACAUUGUUCUUAUGUAUGUGCUAUGGAGGUAUUUGGUUCCUUCUUUUGCUAAUUCUUUUUCCUUUUUUUUCAAAAAAACUGAUGUGCUAGUUGGAGAUUGCGUUUUAGAGAACAUUAGUCUGCAUGAUACUCAUAGUAGGGGUUCUGCUUGGCCUCUCUUAUUUGGAAUUGCUAUUUGGAAAAUAUGGAAUCGUCGGAAUUAUAUCUUGUUUUGAGAUGAAAUUAUUGAUGUGGACUCUAUAUUGCAUGAGAUUGUCACUUCGGCUUCUAGCUCCCAAAGGGUAUUUGCGCAGUUGGGCAGUGGCUUAUCCAGGGCUUUCAGAUUUCGGAGUUACUGUGUUUGUUGGACUCCUCCUCUGCAGGGCUGGUUGAAGUUGAAUUUUGAUGGGGCUAGUAAGGGGGAAGGAAGGUUGGCUUAUAGUGGUGGUGUUCUUAGAGAUUAUUGUGGUCAAUGGGUUACGGGAUUUGUUGAUAAUUGGGGAAGUGGAUCUGCUUUAAUGCAGAGCUUUAGGCUUUAUUUGAAGGUUUGAAAUUAGCUAAGAGGAUGGGCAGUUCUAAGCUUGGGGUGGAAUGUGAUAAUUUGUUGGCAGUGCAGAGCCAUUGUUGUUCCUCCUAUGCAUGCCUUGUCUCUUGUUCAUGCUAUCAGGACUUUGCUGGUUGAUGGGUGGAGUCUUACUAUCACUCAUAUAUGGAGAGGGAAGCUAAUUUUGUUGCUGAUUGCCUGCUAAUAUUGCUGAAGAUUUUUCGGUGGGUCUUCAUGAGUUGCCGCAAUCUCCUAUGGUUCUUGCUAACUGGUUGCUUCGUGACCAGUGUAGUAUUGCUUAUAGUAGAGUUAGCUCUCGUUAUGAGACUUGCUAGAAUUAAAGUGGACUGACAUUUACAGUAAAGGCAAAAUGGCACUUUUACUAUUAAUAGAAAUAAU